AUGGCCACUUCCUGCUUACCCCCAGCAACGCUAACAUUAAAGCAGUUUAUAAGAAGGCAACAAGUUAUUCUCUGCUACAGAAGGAUUUUGCAAACAACUUGGCACCUUCACAAUGAUUCAGCUCACAAAUACCUGAAGUAUUGGGCAAGGCAAGAACUGAAAGGAAACAAAAGUGCCCCCAAAGAGGAUACGAUCCAGAUGAUGAUUGAUUACUCAAGGCAAUAUGCAGCUCAAGGAGUUAGAAAAAAACAUUUGCUUUAGCAAAAUCU
rnacentral:lncRNA from 1 species